UAAGAAUACAGGUGCUGCAUGGCUGUCGUCAGCUCGUGUUGUGAGAUGUUGGGUUAAGUCCCGCAACGAGCGCAACCCUUGUCCUUAGUUACCAGCGGGUUAAGCCGGGAACUCUAAGGAUACUGCCAGUGACAAACUGGAGGAAGGCGGGGACGACGUCAAGUCAUCAUGGCCCUUACGACCAGGGCUACACACGUGCUACAAUGGUGGGUACAGAGGGCAGCUACACAGCGAUGUGAUGCGAAUCUCAAAAAGCCUAUCGUAGUCCAGAUUGGAGUCUGCAACUCGACUCCAUGAAGUAGGAAUCGCUAGUAAUCGCGGAUCAGAAUGCCGCGGUGAAUACGUUCCCGGGCCUUGUACACACCGCCCGUCACACCAUGGGAGUUGAUUGCACCAGAAGUGGUUAGUUUAACCUUCGGGAGAACGAUCACCACGGUGUGGUUCAUGACU
rnacentral:rRNA from 1 species